rfam:Roseovarius pacificus strain DSM 29589 genome assembly, contig: Ga0131109_104
GGGCGAUUAGCUCAGCGGUAGAGCACUUCGUUGACAUCGAAGGGGUCACAAGUUCGAACCUUGUAUCGCCCA